GAUGAACGCUGGCGGCGUGCCUAAUACAUGCAAGUCGAGCGAACGGACGAGAAGCUUGCUCCUCUGAUGUUAGCGGCGGACGGGUGAGUAACACGUGGAUAACCUACCUAUAAGACUGGGAUAACUUCGGGAAACCGGAGCUAAUACCGGAUAAUAUUUUGAACCGCAUGGUUCAAAAGUGAAAGACGGUUUUGCUGUCACUUAUAGAUGGAUCCGCGCCGCAUUAGCUAGUUGGUAAGGUAACGGCUUACCAAGGCAACGAUGCAUAGCCGACCUGAGAGGGUGAUCGGCCACACUGGAACUGAGACACGGUCCAGACUCCUACGGGAGGCAGCAGUAGGGAAUCUUCCGCAAUGGGCGAAAGCCUGACGGAGCAACGCCGCGUGAGUGAUGAAGGUCUUCGGAUCGUAAAACUCUGUUAUUAGGGAAGAACAUAUGUGUAAGUAACUGUGCACGUCUUGACGGUACCUAAUCAGAAAGCCACGGCUAACUACGUG
rnacentral:rRNA from 1 species